CUUCAGUUCUCACUCAUUCACAGUAAAGAUGACAGCACACGCUCUCAUUAUCUGCUCUCUACUGCUUUUCAUUGCUGAGUGUAAUGGACAGAUCACGGUCACUCAGAUUCCCUCAAUAACAGCUCAACCAGGACAACAAGUUCAAAUAAACUGUAAAACCAGCAGUGGAGUGUAUAAUGGUGAUUUUUUAGCCUGGUACUUACAGAAACCUGGAGAAGCUCCUAAACUCCUCAUAUAUCGAACCAACACCCUUCAGUCUGGAACUUCAUCUAGAUUCAGUGGCAGUGGAUCUAAUAGUGAUUUCACUCUGACCAUCAGUGGAGUCCAGACUGAAGAUGCAGGACAUUAUUACUGUCAGAGUUAUCACAGUGGUGGUGUGUUCACACAGUGAUAAAGAGUCGUACAAAAACCUCCUUCAGUGAAAGAGGAACUACUGAUACAGAAACAGUUUCUCUGAAUGUUUCAUUAUAAAUUGACAUGGACACAAAGUUUUAGAUUUUGAUAUUUCACACUCAACACUACAUAUGAAACUGGACGACACAUUUUAUUAUAAAGGUCAAUUCAGUCAUUUUUGGUUGAUGUUUUACUGGCUGAUAUGACACUAGUCUUAAACUUUACUGACACCUAUCCAUGUGAAUACAGCAUCAUGCAAACAUAAAACAUUUGUUUUCACAGAUGUCAUAUUUGAAUGUAAUUCAUCACUUUAAACAUUUGACUUGUUUCACCCCCUCAAUUGGACAGACUCAUAUAAAGUGAGAGGUGAUGUCACAUACAUGUUGUUCAGGUAUUCAAAUAGAUUCAUCUAGUGCUGGAGUCUCUUGUUUGAUGGAGUGUGUGUGUUGAUAAAGUGAUUUUUCACGAGUGUUUUUAAGACAAGACUUGAGGAGAGUCGAGAG